UACAGAGGGUGCAAGCGUUGUUCGGAAUUAUUGGGCGUAAAGGGCGCGUAGGCGGUGCGGUAAGUCCGCAGUGAAAUCUCUGGGCUCAACUCAGGGUCUGCUGUGGAAACUGCCGUGCUUGAGUGUGGGAGAGGUGAGUGGAAUUCCCGGUGUAGCGGUGAAAUGCGUAGAUAUUGGGGAGGAACACCAGUGGCGAAGGCGGCUCACUGGACCGGUUCUGACGCUGAGGCGCGAAAGCGUGGGGAGCAAACGGG
rnacentral:rRNA from 1 species